ACUUAAUAAAUGCCUAAAUAGUCUAAAAAGCUAGUAGGAUACCAUUAUAACUUUCAACUUUACAGCACUCUGACUCCAUAUAAUAUAAAGUAACGACUAAUCAACUGUUAAAUUAGUCGUCGACUAUUUUAAUAGUUGAUUAGUCGAUCAAUCGUGGUAGCCCUAAUUGCAGGCAGCUGUGGCUUUCUCCAGGAGACCUCGGGGGUUGGAGUCAUUGGUGGGGGUGGGGAUUGCAUCACAUAUUAACCAAUUCACACCAGCAUGACUGAUGACCCCCUCCUCAAUGUCCACAGGAGGAACAUGGAUCAUCUGCAUAGAAUUGAAUCUUUGUCCGAUUGUUUCAUUGAGAACACUUUCAGGGAUCGUUUUCAUUUUCAGCCUCAUGAAUCUUUUGUUCGGUUUCUUCAUCCUCAGUCCUGCAGACUGUUUCCGUCUCGGACCCAAUACUUGAAGAUCUUCCACAUCUGUGAAAGUGACCUCCCCGUCUCUGCCCGGCGCUGCGUGACGGUUCGCGGAGGUCCAGCUGGCCGCUGACGUGGCCUCGGCUCUGAGGGAUGAGAUGCAGGAGAGUUAGGAUGUCCUGUCUCUUAUCACUUCCCUUUGGCUCCAUUGUUCUCCGAUCCACCAGGAAUGUUCUCCUCCUUCUGCUCUGGAGGGAGUCUCUUUAUUAUCCGCGGUGAGGUGUCACCUGCUGCCGCAGAGGUGUGAGGCCUUGACUUGUUUCGUCAUGCGUUUGUCCGGUACCUGCGUUUGGAAAAUUGGUUUGUACGUCAACAUGUUUGACAUUUUUAGUUUGUUUUUGUAGUGGCGCAGUCUGUCCAAAUCCAGUUUGUGGACGCUGAAGAUGCUGAGAUGGACCUUCAAAGAUUCAGGUCAGCGUGGACGACAGGAAUCCCACACCUCCGUGUUUCCUCGCCAAAACCCCCACAGAGAACAGACUGGUUUUGAUGGUCAUUGAACACAACCCCCUGAGGAAAACAGGAAGACAAGGUCAGCUGAAAACCAUCUGGAAUUCCAAGGACCUCCUUGUCCAGGACAAACGCUUGGAGACGCGCGGAGCUCCUGAUGACAUUGACCCAGCCGGGUCUCAACAUGUUUGGCUGCAGGGCUGGAAAUCCUGUUGCACGAUCCAAGCUGCACUUGUUCUGAUGAAUUUCUGUUCCGCUGCCUCGCCUCUUCUCAUGCCAGACCAAUAAAAGCCCUUCAUAAACAAACGGCGUCGCUGUGACAUCACCAUCCACCGCCAUCGCUGAAGCUGGUUCAUGAAGCAGUUUGAGUUCACUGAUCCGUGUCCGUUGGACUCAUGUUCAUUCCUCACUAAACGGAUCAUCUUCAACCAGUUUCAUUCUCAUUCCAGACUCGCCACAGACUAACGUUUGGUUAAGGACCCCUCCAUGCCUCUUU
rnacentral:lncRNA from 1 species